AUUUUUCUCUUGGUUUAUGUCUUUAUAAUACAGUGUCAUUAUUAAAAAUGCUGUGGAUCUUAAGUAGAAAAGAAGAUUACCAUCACAGCCUAGGAUGAGGCCAAUCGCAGAGAGAAAGGCUAUGUGCAUCUUCCUGAAGUCAGUGAAUGACGCCAGAUCAUGUCACUGGAUACUCCAGAAAAUGAAUAUGUCCUGAAGUGGAUGGAGUGUGUCAUUAAAUCCCCAAGUAAGAGCCUUGGGGUCAGGAAGAGUCACAACAAACAGAAGCUGUGGUUGACACUGAAAGAAAACCAUAUUCUUGCACUUCAUGUAGACUUAUCCACAAGAACAGGAAACUACAACCCAUUUCCAAACAUCUAGGGAAGUGUAAG
rnacentral:lncRNA from 1 species